GUACUUGCUUUGGCAGCACAUGUACUAAAAUUGGAACGAUGCAGAGAAGUUUUAGCCUGGUCUCUGCCGAAGUAUGACACGCAAAUUCAUGAAGCGUUCCAUAUUAGA
rnacentral:snRNA from 1 species